CUCCAGGCUGCAGCACGAGCUUCAGGACGCAGAGCGUCAGAGGAAUCUCCUGGGCACCAGAGUAGCUGCGCUGAACUGUGACAUCCAGCAGAAAGACUGCAGGUGGCUCGCAGAGCAGGACGAGGUGUCCAGUAGAGAUGACCUGAAGACCGCUCGGGAGAAUCUGAUCGCUUCACAAGAGGAGCUGGCAGAGCAGAUGCAGCAUGUCUUGUCUAGGGAAGAGGAGGUCGUGUCCCUGCAGAAGGAGGUCAGCAGACUUCAGGAGAUCCUGAAACAGAGAGAGGAGGUGAUAGAGAAGAACAAACACAACAC
rnacentral:lncRNA from 1 species